GUAGGUGGCAAGCGUUGUCCGGAAUUAUUGGGCGUAAAGCGCGCGCAGGCGGUCCUUUAAGUCUGAUGUGAAAGCCCACGGCUCAACCGUGGAGGGUCAUUGGAAACUGGGGGACUUGAGUACAGAAGAGGAAAGCGGAAUUCCAAGUGUAGCGGUGAAAUGCGUAGAGAUUUGGAGGAACACCAGUGGCGAAGGCGGCUUUCUGGUCUGUAACUGACGCUGAGGCGCGAAAGCGUGGGGAGCAAACAGGAUUAGAUACCCUGGUAGUCCACGCCGUAAACGAUGAGUGCUAGUGUUAGGGGGUUUCCCGCCCCCUUAGUGCUGCAGCUAACGCAUUAAGCACUCCGCCUGGGGAGUACGGCCGCAAGGCUG
rnacentral:rRNA from 1 species